CUGCUCAAUGAUUUUUUAAAUUGCUGUGGUAUUUUGACUAUACAAAGGUAUUGUAAUAAGAUUUUAAUUGAAUGCUAAGAGAAUGGAAUUACAGGGAAUAACUAUUUAAAACUUAAAAAUUAAAAUUAUUUUAAUUUGUGAAGAAACAAUUAUUAAAAUUAAGGACAAGAAGACCCUAAGAAUUUUAAAAUAAUUAAUUUCUUAUAAGAAAUUAAUUAUUUUUAGUUGGGGCAACUAGAAAAUAUUAUAAACUUUUUAUAUAAUAAAAUGAUCCAUUAUUAAUGAUUAUUUGAGAAAAAUACUCUAGGGAUAACAGCGUAAUAAUUUUUGAUAGAACCUAUAGACAAAAUAGUUUGCGACCUCGAUGUUGGAUUAGGAUACUUUUUUAAUGAAGAUGUUAAAAAAAGAAGUUUGUUCAACUUUUAAAGUCCUACUUGAUCUGAGUUCAGACCGG
rnacentral:rRNA from 1 species